rnacentral:rRNA from 1 species
AGUGAACGCUGGCGGUAGGCCUAACACAUGCCAGUCGAACGGCAGCACAGUAAGAGCUUGCUCUUACGGGUGGCGAGUGGCGGACGAGUGAGGAAUACAUCGGAAUCUACUUUUUCGUGGGGGAUGACGUAGGGAAACUUACGCUAAUACCGCAUACGACCUACGGGUGAAAGCAGGGGAUCUUCGGACCUUGCGCGAUUGAAUGAGCCGAUGUCGGAUUAGCUAGUUGGCGGGGUAAAGGCCCACCAAGGCGACGAUCCGUAGCUGGUCUGAGAGGAUGAUCAGCCACACUGGAACUGAGACACGGUCCAGACUCCUACGGGAGGCAGCAGUGGGGAAUAUUGGACAAUGGGCGCAAGCCUGAUCCAGCCAUACCGCGUGGGUGAAGAAGGCCUGCGGGUUGUAAAGCCCUUUUGUUGGGAAAGAAAAGCAGCAGGUUAAUACCCCGCUGUUCUGACGGUACCCAAAGAAUAAGCACCGGCUAACUUCGU